AUGCAUGGGGAGACACCCUGGAGGAAGCAUUUGAACAGUGUGCCAUGGCCAUGUUUGGUUACAUGACAGACACCGGGACUGUGGAGCCCCUCCAAACAGUGGAAGUGGAAACCCAAGGAGACGACUUGCAGUCUCUGCUGUUUCACUUUUUGGACGAGUGGCUUUACAGGUUCAGUGCCGAUGAGUACUUCAUACCCCGGGUGGGGAGAAGAAUUUUCACUGUCUAAGCACCCUCAGGGAACCGAGGUCAAAGCAAUAACAUACUCAGCAAUGCAAGUCUACAAUGAAGAGAAGCCAGAAGUGUUCGUGAUCAUCGACAUUUAAGAUACCAAAAAAAAAAGGAAAGACUCUUGUGAAGAACUGAUUCGUUUUCUUCCUUUAGAGAGGAUAUGAUGAUUCAUUUUCUAUAGUGUCUUUGCUAAAUGAAAAUGCAGAACUGGGAAUUUAAAGGGUGAUUUUUGGAAAUGGAAAACCAGUGUGUAGCCUUGGUCUGUGAUUCCUAGAGGAUAUAUUCUUCGGUUCUGAGGAGCAGUCGUGCACUUGGUCCAUGAGCAAUAGCCGCGGCCG
rnacentral:lncRNA from 1 species